UACGUAGGGGGCAAGCGUUGUCCGGAUUUAUUGGGCGUAAAGCGCUCGCAGGUGGUUCGUCGCGUCGUGCGUGAAAGACCCCGGCUCAACUGGGGAGGGUCGUGCGAUACGGGCGAACUGGAGGCCAGUAGGGGGAUGUGGAAUUCCGGGUGUAGUGGUGGAAUGCGUAGAGAUCCGGAGGAACACCAGCGGCGAAGGCGGCAUCCUGGACUGGUCCUGACACUCAGGAGCGAAAGCGUGGGGAGCGAUCCGG
rnacentral:rRNA from 1 species